GCAAAAGAGUGUUAACAAUUUAACAUUCAUAUUGAGUAUUAAGCUUAUACAAGUUUGUUUCAUGUGAUUAAGAAUCAAGAAUGUCUCUUUCAAACGUGUCCACAUCUUCAGUAACAGAAAACAUGCAAAAAGCAAAUGAAUAAAAGAUGAAUCAAGCGACAUGCAAAUAGAAGACGAGGCGAUUGACUUUGAAUCGAUUACCAAAGCAUUCAUAAGAACCGAAGAAGAAGAAGUGCAGAAGACAUGAAAUAAACAAACCUGUAAGUGAUUCCUCUAAUUCUCAGAUGGAGCAGAAGACAAAGAAAUCAGUAGAUUUAUUGUUUCCAGUUUGUAAUUAUAAAGAGAUCCAAUCGAGAGAUUUUGGGACUAGGAUUUGCUCGCCGAACGGUAAUCAGAACAGGUGAGAAAGAGUUGACUACAUGGAAUGUAUAAAGAUCGGUUUACUAGGAUCUCGGUACACGACUGAACCGACCCGAGACUGCUUAGAGCUAAAGACCCAUUCGGUAUUUUGCAUGGUCCCGUUACUGAUCCAAACCCGCUACUUCGGUUCGGCUUAGAGUACGGAUUUUGGGUGUAGUUAAUUAUGUCCAGACCUAGUCACCAGUCGGACCCUUAAUGAAAUAUUUUUAUUAUUUUUAUUUGGUCGAGCUAAAUUUAAUUUUGUCCAAGUUCUGGUUUGGGUUUGAUUAGAAACCCGGUUCAGCCUGGUUUAUAUAUCCAUCCUAGUGAUCAUUUUGACCAUUUUGAAACUUUGUUGUGUGUUUUCAGCAAUCCUCAUCUGCUGAUAAGUACAUAGGACUAUACACUGAUUCAAUCCCAAAUGUAAAGGUUUUCUACAUGUCAUCAUCGGUUACUCGGUAUAACCCCUUUAUCAGUUUUCCUCUGAAAUCUUUCCAGUUCCCUCCUUCCAGUAAAUCUUGUUUCAGUACAAUAAAAAAAAUGUUUAUUUUGUGUAAUUACUUUCUUCAAGGAUGAACUUCUUUGGGCUGCGGGGAUGAGUGCCACUUGAAAUAGGUUGAAAGAAUGCCGGUUACAUGGGUGAAACUGGAUGGAGAAUUCUCUUUGGAUAACAUAUAACAGAUAAGCCGGUGUUCAAGUCCUUGUCACCAAGGUAAAUAACCUGGUUUCUUCAAUAAUGUUAUUUCUGAAGUUUCAAGAAUACUAAUCUUGACUCUUGUUUGAUUUGUGUGUGUGUGCUUAUAUAUUGUUAGAAGUUAAAGAAGGUGGAUAUACUUCUUGUGCUUGUCUAAAAGAAAAUGAUGGCUACAACAUUCAAACAACUGGUAAGUUAAUUUAGUAUAAAAUUCGGUGAAUAUUGAAUGUUUUUUUGUUUAGUGGAGGAAAAUUCAGGUGGUUUGAUGUAUGUUAUAAAUUAUCUCUCUGCAGCACAUGCUAAACUCAAUUUUCAUCAUGGUUCGGUUCAACCUCAAGCACUUUUAGACAUUGCUAGAUCUCAGAUGUACUGAUUACAUUCUUUGAAAAACUGUCAAGGAAUGAAUUGCCAAGUUGGAUAUGGACCAAAAUAUCCAAUCAGAGUCCACCAUACAGGCCCGUCAUUCCCUUCAAUCUUUGUUCAACGUUCUUCUGUGAACUGUGUUGGUUUAGAAUGUCUCACGCUGAUAUGUUAUCCACGGUGCUCUUGUUGAUGGACCAGAUCAGAAUGAUUACUAUUCAGAUGAAGGACAAACCACGAGCAAAUCAGAACCAACUUUUGUCUGGAACAGCUUCACUUGUUGGUCUAUUCGCUAAACUCUCGGGAAGAUUAGGUAACUAAACAAUAAACUGUGUGCUCUUACUCAUGUUCCGUGAAUCAUAUGUAAUGACGGAGGAGGAUCUUCUAAACCAUACCAAACAACAGAACCCACCAGUUUCUGUCUUACAAAACAACACCAACAUCAUACUCCAAAGCAAUGCACCAAUCGAACAGUUCAUUCAAUAACUGCUGAUUGGAUGGCCGGGAACUCUAGGUACUACUACAUACCCUAAGUGCUCAUCAAGAACAAUUCUCAGAGGGACCGGACCUCAAGCUUCAGACCGAAGAUCUCUGACCUAUAGGCUUAAUAGGGCAAAAGAAUGCAUACCACCUUCCUCAGGGGCAAAUGAAAUCUGACAAUCUGCCCCUCUAUGGGUAUCAGUUAUAAGUUACUACUAAUCCUCUUUGUUAACAUCCGGUUUUAAAGUCGUUUAUCAUUUGAGUGAUAGGAAUUCGAAGCUCAAGGAAGACAACAAUUCAACACAAAAAGCACUCAAAAUUGAGUUUUAAUUUAAAUUCAGACAAUAAUAUAAGGAUUCAGACACAACUGGACUAGCAAAGAAAAAAAAAAGCUGAAAUAAUAAUAAGAUGAGUAAGCAUCACAAGG